rnacentral:misc_RNA from 1 species
GCAGAAGCCGGCUUGCUGGCGAUGGCGGCCUCAAGACUUUCAUUGUUUUUGAGAUUGCCAUCGCCAGCAAGCCGGCUCCUGC